rnacentral:misc_RNA from 1 species
CAAACCUCAAGCUUCUGCUUGGUAUUGGGCCUCGUCCGCCUAGGACGUGCCCGAAACUCGUAGGCAGUGGUGUCCAUCUCCCAGCGUAGUCAAAUUCUAUCCGCUUCGGAGCUUUAGGCACUGCCCGCCGAACAACCCACUAUUUUUCUAUG